rnacentral:rRNA from 1 species
AUGGAGGUUGCGGUGGUCGUCGGCCCGAUAGUGAAGCUGCUGCCGAAGCUCCUAUCGGUGAUAGAUGGCAAAAGGAAGCAGCUGGACAACCUGGAGGUGGACGCCGGAUUCAUCCGCCGCGACCUGCAGUCGAUCCAAGAAAUCAUUGGCCGCUCGAGUGGCGGCAGAUCCAUCACGGACCUCUGGGUCCGAGAUCUCAGGCGCCUGGCGGACGACAUGGAAGACUGCAUCGACCGCUUCCAGGUCGGGAAGAUGGGCAGAGUCCGUUUCGUCGGGAAGAUCGGCAGACUGAAGAAGAGGUCAAAGGAGACUCUCGAGCAGCUGCAGAACUCCAUCAGCAUCACCGGAGCCGCCGCACCUCCGGCUCCCGCCGGCGGGGGCAACGAUCAGGAUCCGGAGGGGCAACUACUUGCUCUGCUUCCGCGGAGCCCAUCGGAGGGGAGGCUCAAGGUGAUUUCAGUCGCCGGAUUCGGUGGAGCAGGUAUGACUCGCCUUGCCCACAAGGUUUACAGCAACAGGGAUGUGCGCAGCCAGUUCCCUCUGCACGCCUGGGUUCGUGCAUCCCCGGGCAUGAGUGUGCACAAGCUUCUUCAGAAAAUACAUGACCAACUGCUGCUAAUUAGUAUUGCCAAGAAUCAUGGUGCCACUGCCUCCAGCUCCAAAAUAAUACCACAGGUCAACGGAGAAGCCGAAACUGACCGCGGGCUCAUCGGAUUACUCAAGACCGGAAGGUAUUUGAUUGUGAUUGAUGGUGUGAAUACACAUGAGUUGUACGACGUGCUAUCUGCCUUCUCUUGGGCUGAUGGAGUGGAUUGCAGAAUUAUCAUGACGACGGCCAUUCAGCUGCCAGAAGCGACAUGCUGCAGAUGUGGUAACGGUUCAUCACUUGCUAUGGAUAGCACAAGCCAGGUUUUCAUUGGAGAGCUGACAGAGAGUGGAUUUGUGGAGGCCUGCCUCCAUCUUCGUGAUGACACUAUAGAAAGAAUUCGGCGCGGCAACAACGAGAUCCUAUCCAGUCCUGUUGUCCAGGACUUAUUGCUGUAUUUCUGCAUGUUCCCACGCGAUCAUCCUGUCAGGAGGAAUCCCUUGAUAAGGCUAUGGCUGGCUGAAGGACUUGUGUUUCCUCAACCAGAAACAGAGAGUUUUUCCCAGGAUGUUGCAGCCAAGAAUUUGGAGAGCCUCAUCAGCCGCAAUGUCAUCCAGCCCAUUCAAGUGAGGAACUAUGGAAAUGUGAAGAGAUGCCAAACUUUUGGGAUGAUGCUUAACUCCAUUUCCAGCAAAUCCAAGUCACAGAACUUCAUCACCAUGCUGUGUGGUAGCGGCCAGACGACGGAGAGGAAUCCACCGGGCAAAGAGAUUCGCCGGCUUUCGCUCCAUCUUAACGGUGCGGCAAAUGGGCCACUUAAUUUGCCAAAGGAGUUAUCUCGUCUCCAUACUCUGGCAGUAUUCCCUGAUGAUGCAAAUGUCUCCAGGCAUCAAGCUAAUUUGAAUUAUGCCAAAUAUAAGCUACUGCGAGUUUUGGAUCUCAAAGAAUGUGCCGAUGUGAAAGCAGAACAUGUGGGCAAAAUAUGUGACCUGUUGCUGCUCAAAUAUCUGAGCCUCGGGGACAGUAUUGACAAGGUUCCGAGGAAAAUAGCGAAGCUAAAAUGGUUAGAGACUCUCGACAUGAGGAGAACCCAGGUAGUGACGCUGCCAAUUGAAGUCCUCCAGCUCCCCGGGUUGAAACACCUCCUUGGAAAGUUUCAGCUAGUUGAAGGCGACUGCACACAGAAGAAGCUAGAGAAGCUCCUGUCAAAAGAUAUUGAACUGCAUAGGCUUUCCGGAUUUGUCACAGACAAAAGCGAAGGGUUUGCGCAGCUGAUGAGUCGCAUGGGGAAGUUGAGGAAGGUGAAAAUAUGGUGCGAUUCCACCGCAGAUGUGACGAAACUGGUUCAUGUUUUAGGAGCCACAAAGAAAUUCAUUGGCGGAGGCCUGGAUAUGACAAGAGUCGAUCGUUCUUUAUCUAUCGACUUCCAAGGAUGUCCAACAGAAUGCUCAGAACAGUUCAUGGAUUCUCUGAAAGCUACAGGCCGUCUUACCUCGCUCAAAUUGCGAGGCAAGCUGACACAACUCCCUCAGUUCCGUGCAAAGCUGAAUUACAUCGAAGAGUUAUGCCUCUCAAAGACUAGUCUGAGCGGUGACACAAUCCUGAGUAGCCUGUCUGGACUGAAAAUGACACUGAAAUAUUUCAAGCUGGUAGAAGAUAAGCUUGGUCACUUGGUCAUAAAACCAGAGCAUUUCCGAAGCCUGAAGGGGUUAUGCCUCGUGGGCGAGCAAAGUCUAGAGGACAUAUCAAUCCAAGAUGAAGCUAUGCCCUACCUUGUGUCACUUCAUAUACUUUGUGAAGCUCAGGGUGAUCUUCCAGGCAUCGACAUCACACGCAUGGGAAGGCUAAAAGAAGUCGCGCUCCAUUCCGGAGUACAAGAUACGAUAAAGGAUGGAUGGCAAGCAGCUGCAAUGAACCAUCCUAAUAGGCCCAACGUUUUGUUUAUCCAUCAUGCUAACUCCUUGCCUAGAGACUCUCCGCCGUGCGAAGCAACAGGGGAGAUUGUAAAUCGGACCAAACCUAUUGGGAGAAAAUUCACCUCCUCUAUCAUGGGGGGCAUCUUUUCUCGUGCACGGCCAAGAUCCUGA